rnacentral:rRNA from 1 species
GUGGAUUAGAUACCUCGGUAGUCCUAGCUGUAAACGAUGGACACUAGGUGUUGGAGGGGUUACCCUUCAGUGCCGCAGCUAACGCUUUAAGUGUCCCACCUGGGGAGUACGGUCGCAAGACUGAAACUCAAAGGAAUUGACGGGGACCCGCACAAACGGUGGAGCAUGUGGUUUAAUACGACGAUACGCGUGGAACCUUACCAGGGCUUGACAUGUAUUAGAAAGUCUAUGGAAACAUAGAUCCUUCCUUCGGGAACUGAUACACAGGUGUUGCACGCCCGUCGUCAGCU